CUACCCCAGGUCAGGUGGGACUACCCGCUGAGUUUAAGCAUAUCAAUAA
rnacentral:rRNA from 1 species